ACCAGCCAGGAGCGAGCACAGCUCGGCCUAGAGCUCACAUUGACCACCAUGGUGCCGGCGCCUGGCACACCGGACGGCUUCUUCCUCUGCGUCUACUGUGACCGCAAGUUCCGCAGUUCGCAGGCGCUCCGCGGCCACCAGAACACGCACAAGCAUGAGCGCGCCGCCAGGCGCAGGCAGGACCGCGCAGUCGCGGCGGUGAUGCAGGCACAGGACGUCUUAUGUUCGGUGUCUGCGGUGAGGAAAGCUGGGAAGGCUGUUGCUGAUUCUGUACGGAAGCAGGAAGACCCCUCAGGCGGCAAUGAAGGCGGGAGCUCUUCGGAGCGCGGCCACGAGGUGGACUUGUCUCUCCGGCUAUAA
rnacentral:rRNA from 1 species